rnacentral:rRNA from 1 species
UUUUAUUUGAGAGUUUGAUCCUGGCUCAGGAUGAACGCUGGCGGCGUGCCUAACACAUGCAAGUUGAGCGAUUUACUUCGGUAAAGAGCGGCGGACGGGUGAGUAACGCGUGGGUAACCUACCCUGUACACACGGAUAACAUACCGAAAGGUAUGCUAAUACGGGAUAAUAUAUUUGAGAGGCAUCUCU